rnacentral:lncRNA from 1 species
GCCAAGAGUUUGAGCAUUUGAUAGGUCUCUGCCCUUUCUUCAGCUGAUUGCACUGCCCCAUUACUGCUGGCUUUAAUAUAUUCAAGCCCCUAAUGCAAUAUGCAGCACCUGCAAACACUGUGAAAUAUUAGCGGAGUGGUAAUGAAAAUUGACUGCAAGUAUAAUGACAACAGGUGAAAUUAUUCAUAGCCUGCUCAUGUAGCAAACUUCAGAUAUAAACUCAAUGAGCAUAAACGGAAUAAGUUCAUGACAAAUAUGAAAAUAUCCCAAACUGCUAAAGUAAUAAAAGUAAAUAUAAUAAAUCUUUCCUGCAAAUAUAAUAAGGUCCCUAACUGCAAAUGUAAUAAAACCUAUCAACAGCUGCAAUAUAUUUGGAACAUAUUAUAUAGCUUUACAAAGAGUUAUACCCCCUGCUGGUAUGGCCUCAACAAUGUCAUGCUUUGUCUUUUUCCAGUGAGUCCAAAUCCAGCAGACUACAUGCUGCCCAGUGUAUAUUAAGUAUGACAGAGCGUUAAUGCAACCAGGUUUGGAUUGAAAAUGAAAUGCUCAAUCCAGAUGUGCUCUUUGGCCAUUCUGCGAGCAGAGCCAAAGGCUGUAGGACUCCCACCAGGGGCUGAAAUGCAGCCAGGAAAGCCAAGCGUGGGAGGCAAGAGAAGAGGAUCUGGGACAGAAGACUGAGGAAUACCAACAUUUAAGGGAUGGGCAGAGUUACCUCAAAUUUCCCUCUUCACAUUCCCUCUCAUAUUCAGCCAGUGUCCUUUUAUUUAUUUACUUUUUACUGAGGAAGAUUAGCCCUGAGAUAACAUCUCCCACCAACCCUCCUCUUUUUGCUGAGGAAGACUGGCCCUGAGCUAACAUGCAUGCCCAUCAUCCUCUACUUUAUAUGUGGGACGCCUACCACAGCAUGGCUUGCCAAGCUGAGCCGUGUCUGCACCUGGGAUCCGAACCAGCGAACCCUGGGCCGGCGAAGUGGAACGUGUGAACUUAAAUGCUACGCCACUGGGCCAGCCCCCUUUUAUUUUUUAUACUGUUUUAAAAACUGAGCAGAAAUAGAAUACUGUCAGGACAUCAUGGCUGUGAAUAAUAAACCUUGAAAAUCUACAAACUGUGUAGCCUCCUCUAAACCAA